UGGGGGUGCCCUAUAGGGUGCCCUAAGGGGGCUCUGGGGGGGUGGGAGUGCCCUAUGGGGUGCCCUAUGGGGGCUCUGGGGGGUGGGGGUGCUCUAUGGGGUGCCCUAUGGGGGCUCUGGGGGGUGGGGGUGCCCUAUGGGGUGUCGUAUGGGGGCUCUGUGGGGUGGGGUGCCCUAUAGGGUGCCCUAUGGGGGCUCUGGGGGGUGGGGGUGCUCUAUGGGGUGCCCUAUGGGGUGCCUUAUGGGGGCUCUGGGGGGUGGGGGUGCUCUAUGGGGCGCCCUAUGGGGGCUCUGUGGGGUGGGGGUGUGCUAUGG
rnacentral:lncRNA from 1 species